rnacentral:lncRNA from 1 species
AGAUGCUUCUUGAUUUACAACCCAGUAAAUACGCUGUAUAAAUAUUGUUAUUCAAAAAUGCAGUUAAUACACAUAAGCUACCUAGCGUCAUGGCUUAGCCAUAAGAAUACACUGGAGUUUCAGUGGUUUCCCCUUCUGAUCACACAGCACUGGUGCUCACUGCCACAGGCUCACCAUCGACAGAGACUGUCAUGCUAAAGGCAAAAUUGCCCAAAUUAUAUACUGUCAUAUUCCAGCUUCACAGCAAUGAAUCCAUCACCUGCUCACAUAAAAUGAUACUGAGAGUUCUGAGAACAAAGAAGCAGAUAAUCACCAUGGGCAUAUGCUACACCAGAGAAUCUGUAAAGGUACUUUGAUGAGCUACAAAUUGUCCAGGUCCACCAGAUGCUCCACCGCGGGCAGCCAGGAAGAUAGAGGCCACGGCGGAGGAGGGGCUGAGCGCGACAUCGGGGUCACUGCCCCGGCCUCCGC